rnacentral:lncRNA from 1 species
GGGCUUGGCAGCUAAAGUAUGAACCUUUUAUCCAGUUCCUGCUUGUAGCAGGACUAAAAGCUGUCUGGACAGAUCUCCUUCCAAACACACUGAUGUGUCCGGUCACCACACACAUGGGCAUGCAAGGCACUGUCUUGAAAUUCUUACUAGGUCUUUCAUUACUAGACCUUUGCAAAUGGAAAAUUCUAUUUAUUCUAUUCCUGUGCCGGCACCACGUUUCAUUGUGUUUACACCUGCAUAAUCUAUGGCACUUGAUUUUAUAAUAAAGAACAGUUUGUCUCCAGAGAUGAAGUAAUGUUUGAAAACAAGAAAAGUUGAUGCUUGAUUUGGCUAGUGAAAUUUCUACCAGACAACAGUUUGGUGCUAAUGGUGAGAGAGGAUAUGAUCAGAGUUUCAGUGGGGUCUGUUUGUAAAACUCCACCAUUAUAUACCAAAGCAUUUAAAUAAAAUUGUAGGUAAUUUUUAAAUGAAUUAAUAUCUGAAGACUUUGUAAAUGCAUCCAGUGUCUCCAGUUAUUUCCCUUUCAAGGUCUCAUUGAGCUUCAUACAGACCCGGUUAGAAGUUGGUUGAAUUAAUUCUAAAACCCCUUUAAGGAAGAUUAGUCAGGGAUUACUAAGCAUGAAUGGGUAGUCUCAAAAAUAUUCCUAUUUUUAUCUCCUUCCUUCACAAAUGAUAUGUGCAUGUAUUAAUGGAUUGGGUUGUCAUGAACUUAAUUGCUUGCUCAAUGAAGAUAUAUGCUCUGCUGUUUGCUAAGUGUGUGGCACAUGAGCAUGUUUAACUAGUUUGUCAUGCUUUUCAGAUUAUUGCCAACCAUCACAUGCAGUCCAUCUCAUUUGCUUCUGGAGGUGACCCAGUAAGUAUUGAUUUAUAAGAUAUACUUCUGCAGGUAUAAUGAAAUUAUUAUGAGACUAAAAGUACCUGCAAAUGCUUCGCUUCAUCACUUCCUAUCCACAAGCACUAACAGAGUACACCACUCUUCUGGAUCAUGACCAGUAAUACAAGAAAACCGAGGAAGUGAGACUGGAAAGGAGACAUGGAAUAGAGACUUAGUGGAUCUUUGAUAGAUUCAUAGUUAAUUUUCCUGUUGCCAAUCAGUGAGCUUCUGUUCAUUCAAAAGCCCUCAGACUUGAGGAUCUAAAAAUAAGAACACAUGAACAUAGGAAUUGCAUCAGUUUGGUGGUCCCUAUAAUCCAAUACCUGUCACAAAAGCAGUCAGCACUGGUACCUCUAGAUUUUUAGAUGAAUUUUGAGUCAAACAGCUUCUAUGAGACAGAUGCGACAUAACCUCGUUCUUCCUGCAGAUGUGUUCUUCUCCUACUCAUGAAGUCAUUAAUGUUUUCAAUAAGAGGUUUUCUAUUCUCUUCCAAACUCUUUAUUGCAAUGAUUGUAAGCAGGCAAUUUGUCAUCCAUACACAUGCCCUAUUCCCUCUUCAAAUCUAAGCAAGCUCAGCCCUGCCAGCACUCUGAAUUUCACACUCCAUGUGGUACGAGAACAGUAUUUCUUUAAUCAGUAUUUCUUUAAUCAGUUUUGAAUUUUCUGCCCUUCAAUUUUGCUAAAUGUCUCCCUGUUCUUGUGUUAUGAAACAUGGAAAAGAGAAGGCUCUGGAUCAUGCUCUUGGUAACACUGGGGUGGAAACCAGAUCCAGCUUUGAUUGGAAAAUGACAUAUUUGCCCCUUUGAAUUUAGGAGCAGGCAAGGGAAAAGAGCUGGGAACUGGCCCUGUGUGGCUGAUGGAUCUCUAGAGGGCCAUGUGGGUGAUGUAAGGAGCCCAGUUGCUCUGCUCUGCUCAGAGAGAUGCUGCUCAAGCUGCCUGUGAACUGGAGCGUUCUGGAGCUGGGCUGGGAAGUGGGGAGGCAGCACGUGUGCAGGCUCUGCGCUGUCAGUCCUCUACCCAGAAAGGAGGCACAGCACAGGGCUGGUGCUGAAGUGCUACAUCCUUAAAGAUCACUUUUAAAGCUUAAGGCAUUUUGAAAGUCUAAGAAGUUCGAAUUUCACCUUUAGAUGCCUGUGCUGUCCUAAUACACCACACUACGAUACAGCCCUUGGGCUUUGCAGGCCCUUCAUGAUGUGGAUUUCCAGGUAGCUCCAACUGCUGAGACACUGUCGUGCUGAGCAUCGGUGUGCUUCAUUUCCAAAUUCCAGUUCUCUUGAUAGUUAAACAAUUUAAAUAUGUCCUUAAGAUGACUUGGUUUUGAAGUACGUGCCAUGUCCUAGAUUCUGGCUGUCUAGUUUGUCUUUAUAUAACAUUUCCAGCUUGGAAAAUUCAGGGAUGUGUUUUCAGACCUCUGCUCAGCAGGUGGGAUGACUAAUUCUCCAGGGCUUGUUUACCUUUUUUUAGUAGUUUUUAUAUUGUUAUCCUGCACUGGUUCUAUUUAGUGAUUCUAUCAGAUCUCAUGGGCUACACAGGGCUGGGUUUGGUCAGUGCUUAAAUCGCAGGACAGCCAGGAGAUGUGCUUGCACUUAGAUGUGCUGCAGGAAAUGGGCUUGCUGGUGUGGCUGGUGAUACUUUUCUCACUGGGAGAAUAUAUAAUAAAACGGAGGUCUGGCUCAGCAGUGGUAACUAUAAAUCUAGUGGCACUUCAUGUAAGGGGCAAUUUUGGUGGCUUGUUCAGGUAAUUUUCCUAAGAUUCUCUUUACAUUUAAAAUGGAGGAGAGUUUCCACAGGACACAUCUCUCCACCUGCCCUUGCAUUCAGGGUUUAAGCGCAGUUCAGUGUUGCUCUGCAUUGUUAAGAAGCAGCACUAUUCUGCCCAAGGAUAAAGCUUAUUCUGGCUUUAUUUUAAAGCCUAGUCAUCCAUGCAUGUACAUAAACAUUACAAAGGUACAAAAAUAGCAGAUACUGCUCCAGUUACUUUAGUUUCUAGUCGCUGCCUAGAUCUAAUUUAUUUUGAAAGUGUAUCCUAUAACAUUUAUAAACUUUAUGAAAAACCUGAAAGGAAAAGAAGGGAAAUUGAGUUCACUAAACACAUAAGAAAUAUUUAGUUUAAAUGAUAUUAACUUUGGA